rnacentral:lncRNA from 12 species
UCUCUCUCUCUCUCUUUUUUUUUUUUUUAAUUUUUUUUCUUCUGUUUCUGUUAAGCAGGCUAAGGAAGAAAAGGAAAAGCUGAAGUGCCUGAGGUGCAGGGAAGCAUUUUGCUCUAUUCCCUGACUUUGCUAAGUGCCAGCUGUGUUUCCCCACUGCAGGCAUCACUGGGCACAGUCCCUCUGGAGGUGCUGCCAGACCAUUGAGUGCUCCAUCCCUGCCCUCCAGACACUCUCUUCCUGGAGGAAAGUCAACUUUGGGUUUAUUCCAUUU